rnacentral:rRNA from 1 species
GAACUUAAGCAUAUCAAUAAGCGGAGGAAAAGAAACCAACAGGGAUUGCCUUAGUAACUGCGAGUGAAGCGGCAAAAGCUCAAAUUUGAAAUCUGGCGUCUUUGGCGUCCGAAUUGUAAUUUGGAGAGGCGACUUCGGAGAUGGUGCUGUCCUAAGUUCCUUGGAACAGGAUGACAUAGAGGGUGAGAUCCCCGUGCCUGGAUGGCUGUCCAUCUUCAUGUGAAUUGCCUUCGAAGAGUCGAGUUGUUUGGGAAUGCAGCUCAAAAUGGGUGGUAAAUUUCAUCUAAAGCUAAAUAUUGGCGAGAGACCGAUAGCGCACAAGUAGAGUGAUCGAAAGAUGAAAAGCACUUUGAAAAGAGAGUUAAAAAGUACGUGAAAUUGUUGAAAGGGAAGCGCUUGAGACCAGACUCGAUUCGUGGUGAUCAGCUGUGCUUCUGUACGGUGCACUCGCCAUGGAUUGGGCCAGCAUCGGUUCUGACGGUGGGAUAAAAGGUUGAGGAAUGUGUCUUCCUUCGGGGAGUGUUAUAGCCUCACUCACAAUGCCACCAGCUGGGACCGAGGACCGCGCUUCGGCUAGGAUGCUGGCGUAAUGGUCUUAAGCGACCCGUCUUGAAACACGGACCAAGGAGUCUAACAUCUAUGCGAGUGUUCGGGUGGAAAACCCUUGCGCGUAAUGAAAGUGAACGGAGGUGGGAACCCGCAAGGGUGCACCAUCGACCGAUCCCGAUGUCUUCGGAAGGAUUUGAGUAAGAGCAUAGCUGUUGGGACCCGAAA